AGAGUUUGAUCCUGGCUCAGGAUGAACGCUAGCGAUAGGCUUAACACAUGCAAGUCGAGGGGCAGCAUGGUCUUAGCUUGCUAAGACUGAUGGCGACCGGCGCACGGGUGCGUAACGCGUAUGCAACUUGCCUCACAGAGGGGGAUAACCCGUCGAAAGACGGACUAAUACCGCGUACACUCCACUUUGGGCAUCCAAGGUAGAGGAAAUGAAUUUCGCUGUGAGAUAGGCAUGCGUCCCAUUAGCUAGUUGGUGAGGUAACGGCUCACCAAGGCGACGAUGGGUAGGGGAACUGAGAGGUUGAACCCCCACACUGGUACUGAGACACGGACCAGACUCCUACGGGAGGCAGCAGUGAGGAAUAUUGGUCAAUGGGCGAGAGCCUGAACCAGCCAAGUCGCGUGAAGGAUGACUGUCUUAUGGAUUGUAAACUUCUUUUGUAGGGGAAUAACGGACGGCACGUGUGCCGUAGUGAAUGUACCCUACGAAUAAGCAUCGGCUAACUCCGUGCCAGCAGCCGCGGUAAUACGGAGGAUGCGAGCGUUAUCCGGAUUUAUUGGGUUUAAAGGGUGCGUAGGCGGCCUGUUAAGUCAGCGGUGAAAUCUAGGAGCUUAACUCCUAAAUUGCCAUUGAUACUGGCGGGCUUGAGUGUAGAUGAGGUAGGCGGAAUGCGUGGUGUAGCGGUGGAAUGCAUAGAUAUCACGCAGAACUCCGAUUGCGAAGGCAGCUUACUAAGGUACAACUGACGCUGAAGCACGAAAGCGUGGGUAUCAAACAGGAUUAGAUACCCUGGUAGUCCACGCAGUAAACGAUGAUAACUGGGCGUAUGCGAUAUACAGUAUGCUCCUAAGCGAAAGCGUUAAGUUAUCCACCUGGGGAGUACGCCGGCAACGGUGAAACUCAAAGGAAUUGACGGGGGCCCG
rnacentral:rRNA from 1 species